rnacentral:lncRNA from 1 species
GGACUACUCUGGACAUCAAGAUUAAAAGAGCGAAUAAAGUGUAUCACGCCGGGGAAAUGCUGUCUGGUGUGGUGGUCAUCUCGAGCAAGGACUCAGUCCAGCACCAGGGAGUCUCGUUGACAAUGGAAGGGACUGUAAACCUCCAGCUCAGUGCCAAAAGUGUGGGUGUGUUUGAAGCCUUCUACAACUCUGUGAAGGUAAGAGCCGGCACUGCUCUCUGUGAGCUGUGCAGCCUUGUAAGCUGACUUGACUUUCCUGGUCUUCACAGUCUCAGCCCCUACAGAGCUAGUGCUGUGUGCUGCCAGCAGGUACUUGGAUGUGUAGCAUCCUGGCUGGUGCUUGGGAUUAGAAGGAACGAGUUUUAACUUGAGUCAUCUGAGAGAGAGAGCUUCUCUGAGAAAUGCAUGUUGCCUGUGCUCCUUGCCUUGCUUUCUCAGACGUUUUUUGCUAGCUGUGUGCACUGCUCCUGUUGAACGAACGUCUACACUUGGAGCAUGGGGCUCUUUGAUUAUGAUUUUGUUAUUUUGGGUAGAGUUUAUAUUUUAGAAAGUUCCCCCAAUUUAGAGAAGUUCCCCAAAUCUUUUCCUGAAGGCCAUGUGAGCUCUCUCUGAGGAAACCUGUGAGGAAGAGAACAUGAACUU